ensembl:lncRNA
GAGGGUUUAUAGGGUCCUUAUGGGACUCUAUGGGGUCUUUAUGGGGUCCUAUAGGCUUCAAUGGGGUCCUAUGGGGCUCUAUGGGGUCUUAUGGGGUCCUUAUGGGGUCCUAUGGGGGCUUAAAGGGGUUCUAUGGGGUCCUACGGGGUCCUUAUGGGGUCCUAUGGGGUUCUAUGGGGUCCUUAUGGGGUCUGAGUGGGUUUAUGGGGUCCUAUGGGGUCCCUAUGGGGUUCUAUGGGGGCUUAAAGGAGUCUUAUGGGGUUCUAUGGGGUCCCUAUGGGGUCCUUGAAGGUUUAUAGGGUCCCUAUGGGGUCUUAUGGGGCCCUAUGGGGGCUUAAAGGGGUCCUUAUGGGGCCCUAUGGGGUCUUAUGGGGUCUGAGAGGGUUUAUAGGGUCUUUAUGAGGUCUUAUGGGGUCUGAGAGGGCUUAUAGGGUCCUUAUGGGGUCCUAUGGGGUCUGAGAGGGCUUAUAGGGUCCUUAUGGGGUUCUAUAGGGUCUCUAUGGAGUCUCUAUGGGGUCGGGAGGGUUUGUAGGGUCUCUAUGGGGUCCAUAUAGGGUCCUUAUGGGGCCCUAUGGGGUCUUAUGGGGUCUGAGAGGGCUUAUAGGGUCUUUAUAGGGUCCUAUGGGGCCCUAUGGGGUCUUUAUGGGCUCCUUAUGGGGUCAGUUGUGUUUAUAGGAUCAUUAUGAAGUCCUUAUGGGGUCCUAUGGGGUUUUUAUGGGGUCCUUAUGGGGACAGAGAGUUCUUAUGGGGUUCUUAUGGGGUCAGGGCGGUUUAUAGGGUCCUUAUGGGGUCAGGAAGUCCUUUUAGGGUCCUUAUGGGGUCCUUACGGGAUCCAGAGAGUUUUUAGGGUCCUUAAUGAGUCCCUAUGUGUCCCUCUCAGACCCCAUAAGGACCCCAUAAGGACCCUAUAAACCCUCUCAGAUCCCAUAAGGACCCCAUAGAACCCCAUAGAGACCCUAUAGGACCCCAUAAAGACCCUAUAAGCCCCCUCAGACCCCAUAAGGACCCCAUAAAGACCCUAUAAUCCCUCUCAGACCCCAUAGAGACCCCAAAAGACCCCAUAAAGAUCCUAUAAACCCUCUCAGACCCCAUAAGGACCCCAUAAGACCCUAUAGGACCCCACAGAGAUCCUAUAAACCCUUUUAGACUCCUUAAGGACCCUAUAGGACCCCAUAGAGACCCCAUAGAGACCCUAUAAGCCCUCUUAGACCCCAUAGGACCCCAUAAGGACCCUAUAAGCCCUCUCAGACCCCAUAAGGACCCCAUAAGGACCCCAUAAACUCUCUCAGAUCCCAUAAAGACCCCAUAAGACCCCAUAGAGACUCCAUAAGGACCCCAUAAAACCCCAUAAAGACCCUAUAAGCCCUCUCAGACCCCAUAAGGACCCCAUAAAGCUCCCAUAGGACCCCAUAGAGACCCUAUAAACCCUUUUAGACCCCAUAAGGACCCUAUAGGACCCCAUACAGACUCUAUAAGCCCUCUCAGACCCCAAAAGGACCCCAUAAGACCCCAUAGGACCCCAUAGAGACCCUAUAAACCCUCUCAGACCCCAUAGAGACCCCAUAGAGACCCCAGUGGGACCCUACAACCCCCCCCGACCCCACAGAACCCCAUAGGGACCCCAUAAGAACCCAAUUAGCGCCCCAAUUAAGGCCCCGUUAAGACCCCAAUUAAAACCCCAUUAAGACCCCAAAUUAAAACCCCAUUAAAACCCCAUUGAGGUAGGAAAGGUCCUCCAAGACCAUAGAGUUGGGGGGCUCGGAAAGGUCCCCCAAGACCAUAGAGUUGGGGGGCACGGAAAGGUCCUCCAAGACCAUAGAGAUGGCCCACCUGGGCUAAUUAACGCCACCUGGAGCUAAUUAACUGCACCUGCUGCUCCCCACUGCCCCCCGUUCGGCCUUCAUUAACACGCGGCUAAUUAACAAAGCUAAUUCAAAAGCAUAGGAGAGUUUUAAGCCCAUUCCACGCCGCUUUUUGGCCUUCAAAGCCAUUCAAACGCGCUCAGCUCCAAUAAGGGCUGCUUAAUUAACCCCGUUUUAAUUAACCCCCCACAUUAGCCCCUAAUUAACAGCAAGAAACCCAACAAAGCGACAAAUCUAUGCUCAAACCGCCUUGCAGCCCGGCAAACAACACGAAACCCGACAAAAGCGGGCUAGCUGAGGGUCAGAAACGCUAAUUAGCCGCCAAUUAAUUGCUAAUUAAGCACCGAAUAACCGCAGUUAAUUACCCGGAUAACGGUCCGUCUCUGAGCCGCUCCAAUGCGCGUUUAAUGGCACCGCCCCGCGCCGCCCCCUUUUAUACCU